rnacentral:misc_RNA from 1 species
CUUCAUCUGUAAACGAGUUUUGAAUUUGCCGUCUCUCUCAGUGAUCACCAAAUAAAAAGAGGCUUGCGUUCAUUGAGCAAAGAUGUCUCUGAUCCGAUCAUUGUUUGGUAAUCCAUUAUCCACUGACGUAUGGGCACCAUCUGGUUCAAGCAAUGAGAUUUCCACAUUCGCUAAUGCACAAGUUGAUUGGAAAGAGACCCCAGAAGCCCAUGUCUUCAAGGCAGAUCUUCCAGGGCUAAAGAAAGAGGAGGUGAAAGUUGAGAUUGAGGAAGGAAGGGUUCUUCAAAUAAGCGGAGAAAGAAGUAUGGAGAAGGAGGAGAAAAACGAUAAGUGGCACCGGGUGGAGAGGGGUAGAGGCAAGUUUCUGAGGAGAUUCUGGUUACCAGAGAAUGCUACGGUUGAUGAAGUGAAGGCUUCAAUGGAGAAUGGAGUCCUGACUGUUACUAUUCCGAAGGCGGAGGAGAAGAAGCCUGAGGUCAAGUCUAUUGAGAUCAGCGGAGCUUGAGUUGCAUGAUGAUGUCUUUUUUAUCAAUUCCCUAUGUUUUCUGUGUGAAGCUUUUUUGAACUGCUUAUUGUGUGAAGCUGUGUUGUCUUUCAAUACGAUGAUGUCUUUAGCGUAUUUGUGGUGUUUUUAACUAGGAAAAUAUAAGCAGCAGCUUUUA